GGACUACGCGGGUUUCUAAUCCUGUUUGCUCCCCACGCUUUCGUGCCUCAGCGUCAGUGUUGUCCCAGAUGGCCGCCUUCGCCACUGAUGUUCCUCCCGAUCUCUACGCAUUUCACCGCUACACCGGGAAUUCCACCAUCCUCUGACACACUCUAGCUGUCCAGUAUCCAUUGCCAUUCCCAGGUUGAGCCCGGGGAUUUCACAACAGACUUAAACAACCGCCUACGCACGCUUUACGCCCAGUAAUUCCGAUUAACGCUUGCACCCUUCGUAUUACCGCGGCUGCUGACAC
rnacentral:misc_RNA from 1 species